rnacentral:rRNA from 1 species
UACGAAGGGGGCUAGCGUUGUUCGGAAUUACUGGGCGUAAAGCGCACGCAGGCGGAUUGGUAAGUCAGGGGUGAAAUCCCGGGGCUCAACCUCGGAAUUGCCUUUGAUACUGCCAAUCUUGAGUCCGGGAGAGGUGAGUGGAAUUCCUAGUGUAGAGGUGAAAUUCGUAGAUAUUAGGAAGAACACCAGUGGCGAAGGCGGCUCACUGGCCCGGUACUGACGCUCAGGUGCGAAAGCGUGGGGAGCAAACAGG